CUGCAAGCAAAAGAGGCGGGAAACGACGGCGGCGUUCUGCGCUCCUAUUGGCUGAGGCACAAGUGCUUGCCUGAGGGUGUGGUUGCAAAUGGUGUGCUUAGAGAGUGAAGUAGCAAGAGGGAUGUGGGCUGAGCUUCAGUGGGUGAACAGUCCUGUUUUACUUCAGUUUUGCACUGGGGACACCAUAGAGUACUUCUAUCUUCUGCCUCAAAAAAUGCAAGGACAUUUUCCUGGAAAAAGACUGAAUGUCCUGGUGCCAACUGUGAGGAGUACAGGAAUGCUGAUUUCAAAUACCUGAGUGGGAAUGGAGCUUGCUGGACCCCACGGCCACCCUGUAAGUAGGAGCUGCUGCAGAAGAAAGAAGGAGCAGCAUGUGGAAGUGUGUGAUGUGGGGCCUGAAAGAGAGAACUGGCAGUCUUAUAACAUUAGCUGUUGCUGGAGAGUGGAGAAUGCAGAGACAAGGGUGGAUGCCCCAUUCCUGGAGGUGCUCAAGGCCAGGCUGGGUGGGGCCCUGGGCAGCCUGACCUGUUGGAGGGCAACCAGUCCACUGCAGAGGAUGGGGCUGUGAGGUCUCAUCCAACCUCAGCCUCUGUGAUUCUGUGAUAAGACCCAGCUAGAUAUUCUGCAGAGCCAGAAACAUGCCUGGUGCCUUCCAUGCGCUACGUUUGUUAUGCACCUUCCUCAGAAAGUUCCUGACCUAAAACACAUGGAAAAAGAUGGAAGUGUUUUUGCUGGCUUCAGUUCAUCUGAGAUGAGCCAAAAGUCUUGAAUGGAGAAUACUUUAGUGGAAAUGAGAUACUGUUUUCAGUCGACCUUUUAUCAACCUAAAGAUCCAUGCCUCAAAAGAUUUAUUCAGGGACUUCCUUGUUUACUGGCAUUAUUCAUGUCAGUGACAAGUGCCUUUCCAUAUCUGAUCUGUAGGAAAAAUCUCCCUUUUCCCCUCUCAAUUGUAUGUAGUCCAAAGCUAACUGCAUCUUAGUACUGAGAUUGCUUUCUCCUUGAAUCAAAAUAUUUUGGUUCAGCCUGUGUAUUUUCACAGAUCUUAGCUAAAUCACAAACAAUUUCAUUUCUGUAGCAUCACCAGGCUGACAGAUGUUUCACACAAGGAGCUUUUCAGAAUCUUUCUCUCCCCCACUACAGUCUGAGCAAGUACCUGAACGCUUCCUAAGAUGAUAUGCAACAGCUAUAAGAGCUGUAGGAGCAGCUGUAGCUGAGGAUGCAGUAGAUAUUUGGAUACCUGUACCUUAUUUCCAUGUGCAGUCACAAGGACAGAAGUGGAAAGCUAUGUGCAGUAUAUGUCUCUUUUUCCAAAGUCUGUUCCCGUAUAUUUUUCUGCAUAACUGAGAUUAGAAGACAGUGAGAGCUGCUUUACACAAAUUCUUUCCAUUCUUUGCUUUUGCUGUCCCUGAAUUUUGCAGGAAUGAGGACUUAAAUUAAAAGAGCAGGUGUCCCACGAGUAACCAUUGCUGCUGCCUGUCCCUCCAUUAUGCAUUGUUGUGUUUAUAGCAGUUAGAGAAGCAGCUUUGACGGUGAUUAGAGGUAGCAGCAAUUCUGCUCACCAAUGCCAACUGCUCAUGCAGGGAUCCAGGAGGAAAGCUGUCAUUGUGCCAUCAAAGGAUAAAAAAAAAAUUGCAACAAACAGUGGCACAAAAAGACUGUUUUAGAGAAAAAAUAUCUUCAAAAUCUUAAAUAAGUACAACCCAUAAGAGAAAGGGUUGAAUCUAAUGGGUGCCUUCAAUGAGCAUCACACCAGUUGAGGGCACGAAGAUACGUGAGCAAAGUGACAAAAAUGAAGCUCUGAGUAGCAUAAGCCUUUAGUAAGGGCUGCAUCUCUUUGGAAGGAAGAAGGACCUCUCUUGUUGAUGCAGCAAAGAGACAGAAAGUCGUUCUGCCAACACUGGUGCUGACAAGCCCAGCAGAUGAUUGUCAUCAGGCAAAUCAGAUGGGAGUUUCUACUGAAUGUCGAAUGCAGCUAAAGAUCUGAUUUGCCUUGCCUGCAGUCAGUCAGAGCAAACACCUACCCAGGCACUCAGCACCUGGGUAACUCCGCAAAGACAAGGAAAAGUCAGAAAUGGGCAACACCUUGCAGGGGAGGUUGUAAAUGGAAUGUAAUGGUCCAGAGAGAGGGGAAACCUCAUGCACAUGAAGGGUUAUGCCCACUUCUCCUGAAGGCGAUGUCUUGUUGGCCAUGUCAACAAGAGGGCAGUGGGCAUGGGUCUGUGCCAGCAGAAUUGCUUUUACAAUUCUCUCUCCCAAGUUCUACUCCGUUUCCAUGAGCAAAUAAACGGAUUGUUUAAUCU
ensembl:lncRNA